rnacentral:rRNA from 1 species
GUCUACGGCUAUGCCACCCUGAACCUGCCCGAUCUUGUCUGAUUUUGGAAGCUAAGCAGGGUUGGGCCUGGUUAGUACUUGGAUGGGAAACCACCUAGGAAUACCAAGUGCUGUAGGCA